rnacentral:rRNA from 1 species
AGUGAACGCUGGCGGUAGGCCUAACACAUGCAAGUCGAACGGCAGCACAGUAAGAGCUUGCUCUUACGGGUGGCGAGUGGCGGACGGGUGAGGAAUACAUCGGAAUCUACUUUUUCGUGGGGGAUAACGUAGGGAAACUUACGCUAAUACCGCAUACGACCUACGGGUGAAAGCAGGGGAUCUUCGGACCUUGCGCGAUUGAAUGAGCCGAUGUCGGAUUAGCUAGUUGGCGGGGUAAAGGCCCACCAAGGCGACGAUCCGUAGCUGGUCUGAGAGGAUGAUCAGCCACACUGGAACUGAGACACGGUCCAGACUCCUACGGGAGGCAGCAGUGGGGAAUAUUGGACAAUGGGCGCAAGCCUGAUCCAGCCAUACCGCGUGGGUGAAGAGGGCCUUCGGGUUGUAAAGCCCUUUUGUUGGGAAAGAAAAGCAGCAGGUUAAUACCCCGCUGUUCUGACGGUACCCAAAGAAUAAGCACCGGCUAACUUCGCG